rnacentral:rRNA from 1 species
AAUCAACGCUGGCGGCGUGCCUCAGACAUGCAAGUCGAACGCGAAAGUCUCCUUCGGGGGACAAGUAGAGUGGCGCACGGGUGAGUAACACGUAGGUAAUCUACCUUUGGAUGGGGAAUA